rnacentral:rRNA from 1 species
UACGUAGGGGGCAAGCGUUGUCCGGAAUCAUUGGGCGUAAAGAGCGUGUAGGCGGCCCGAUAAGUCUGCUGUGAAAGUCCAGGGCUCAACCCUGGAAUGCCGGUGGAUACUGUCGGGCUCGAAUCCGGAAGAGGUGAGUGGAAUUCCUGGUGUAGCGGUGAAAUGCGCAGAUAUCAGGAGGAACACCAAUGGCGAAGGCAGCUCACUGGGACGGUAUUGACGCUGAGACGCGAAAGCGUGGGGAGCAAACAGG